CUUGGCCUCUCCUGUUGUUGCCGCCCCUUCUCCCUUAGGUGUAGGCUCUCUUUGAGUGUCCCACCUGCUGGUGUGAGGUAUCACACCAGCACAUCUUCUCUCUCAUUUGAUUGGGUUGCGAAGUCGAUUAGAUGGAGUUCAUCCCACUUUCCUGCGGUAUCUGGCAUGCAUGCAAAGUAGAGGGUCUGCGAUCCAGACCUCUGCAAAGAUUUAAUUCAGAUUAAUUGAGAUUUGAUCUCUGGUUCUGCUGCUAAUCAGGUAAGGAUUUGAUCUUUAUUCAUAUAGAUUAAUAGAAAACUUUUAGAUGCAAUCUGCACCUUCUGAAGAGAACUAGUUUUUCUUCCCUUCAUAGGAAUUAUCUGAAGGGAAAGAAAGCCUGUUUC
rnacentral:lncRNA from 1 species